rnacentral:lncRNA from 1 species
GAAGUCUUUAAAGGCUACUAUAUUUUCAGUUUUUCUUUCUUUUUUGAAAUCCAAUAGAAUUGGAAAGAACUGUGUUUUAUAUUUAAUUGACUUGAAAUUCAUUAGUGAUUGGAGGAAAUUAUAUUCAGUACUUUAUUAUCCAUGUAAGGCUAAUAAGAAUUUGAAGUGCUUAAGACUUAAAGUAGUACUCCAAGCUGCCGAUGUACCUUCUUUCUGAGGAUCAAUUAUACGUAAUUCUACUCGAUCCGCAAAUUCUAAUAAAAGAUUGAAAUGUUUAAUUUUGACUGAACUUGAUGUCGUACGCCGAGCUGCCUACGUACCUUCUUUUUGAACAUCCAGUCACACGUAGUUCUACUCUAUCCAUUUCAUUUUCUAUAAGACUUUGAUAAAGCACUAGAUUUCUUCGGCACAUGUAAGUAAAGCAAAGUAUGACAGUUCAAGAGAUAAUGGAAUAAGAAUUACUAUUGAGAGUUAGAAGAAACGAAGAGUUCGAGAGAUGAUGGCUAAAAAGGAAACUAGGAAUGAUGAUUCACUUGAGUUAGCCCAUAUCAUAACCUUCAGCACCAUAAAGACUAGCUAGUCAAGUCACUUCUGAUCUAAAAUCUAUCUGAGAAAAUAGAGGUCAAAAAUUUGUUAGGAUAAGAUAUGGUCAAAAAACACCUAACCAAGAUUUGGCGAGAUCUGUAUUGAGUUAGUUUGCCAGGUGUUUUGCCUAUAAAUGCAUCGCUUGCUCCUACGGAUACAUAAGUUAUGCAGUAUAUGAUUGGCAAAUGCAUCAAUUGAUAGUUAUGAACAGUAAACUAAAUCAAAGGAACCAAAUCACAGGUUUUACUGCACAAAAUAGCAAACGCAAGGAACUUAAUAAAAGAAGCAAAAGUUGAAUCUUUACAUGUCCUUUACUCAUCCCUGUCACUCGUCGUGCGUAAAAGAAACCAUACAAUAUGCAAUAAGUUCUUUUCCUAUAGAAAAAAUAAUAUCUAAGAGAAAAUGAGAACAUACGAAAAAGAGAAGGAAAUUAGACACACUCCCAGAGAAAGGAAAAAAGAAACAAAUUAAAAAAAUGAGACCAACUAACACCCCUAACAAGGAAUACCAUCCAAACUGAAUAUGCAAUCAGUGAUCAAUACAUAGGUCAGUAGCCCAAUAACAACAGAUGCUCCAUUCAAUAACUAUGAAAAGAAAAGAGAUUGCUUUACCUUUUCUUGCCAAUAAUUAUGCCCACAUCAUACAGCUUCACUUGUCCCGCCUAAAAGACAACUUCAAUAUGCAACUAUGUGAUUGUGAAACUUGACAAGGUACAGCUUUCUCAUUGACGAACUUCUCGUGUAAACUCAUAUUUAUGACUAUUUUUUUCAUAAAUUUAUAUAAGAAAGGAAAGAGAUGAGGAAGGAAAAAAGGUACAAAGAAAGUUUUCUAUGGAAGCUUGGAUUUAAAGCCACCUAAUGUGACUGUAAAUUUAAUAAUUAUAAACAGGAAACUAAAUUAAAGAACCAAAUCAUAGAACAUACAUACAUACAUACAUAUAUAUAUAUAUAUAUAUAUAUCUGUAAUAAGCGUCACAGGUUUUACAGCACGCAAAUAACAGAGGCAAUGAACUUAGUAAAAGAAGCAAAAGGUAAAUCUUUACCUCUUAUUGGCAAUAGUUCCUUUACUCAUCCCUGUCUUUUGGCCUGCCUAAAAGAGAUCUUACUAAUAUGCAAUAAUUUAUAUUCUUAUGAAAAAAAUAAUAUUAAAUAGAAAAAAAGGAGAAUAUACAAAAAACAUAGAAUUCCAUAGAUCCCGAUUCAUUUAUGAUGCAAUGGUAUAUUACCAAAGAAUGCUAGAGACACGUAAGCUGAAGAGAAAAGCUUGAAUGCAAAAUACAACCCUAUACGUAGCAUACCUACACCAAGAGUUCCAAUCAAAAUACCAAUGACGUGAGCAUCUUUCGCCUUCUCCACCGGGUAACAUCUGCAUGAAUUGUUACUCGCGAAAAUCCAAGAAUGGCAUGUAAGGAAAGAUCAACGGUACAUCAGGUCGAGGAAAGACAGAUGAUUUAACAUGCAAAAAACAGAAUACGAACUUCAGAAAUAGUAAAUAGAGAUGAAGAGAAGCACACAAGGAUGACUGUGCUGGAAAUAAUACCUACACGUAAGAAUCUGUCUAUGUUAAGAAAAAGUCUGCCACCACAUGAUCUUCUGUUGCAUCAUACCUAACCAAAACCAACAAUAGAAUUAAAGACAACAAACCAUAACAUAGGAACAAGAAUAUCGUACCCUGUUUCUUCAAUAUAUAACCUAGUUUAGCAAACUAAUGACGUCUAAUACAUAUCAAGCGAUAAUAAUUUGAUUUUGUGAUCUAUUUUUCCAAAGCAAACCACUCAAAAAAAUAUCUGACCAGAUUGAAGCAACUACAGUUCAAUUCAUGUUGUCGUCGUAUAAAUGUCGGCACAAAAAAUCAUCAUAUUUUUUAAGAAUAUCAAAACUCAAUAUUUCAUGGGUUCUGUUAAGCAGAAAGGAUAAGAUACCAAACACUGUAAAUUAAGCAAUUAGGGGUCGAAUUGCCUGCAGCAGUGAGAACUACGCUCAUGCAACACGUACACACUGUGAAGUAAUUAAAUACAAAAGCUACUUACAGGUUCAUAAUAAAUUGAAGAAAAUUGAUAAUAAAUGGUCAAUUCGAAGUAAAUAGAAAUAAACAGACAUUUCUUUCCCUUUCUCCCAUUCAUUUGCCAGGAAACUGCACAACUUUCUUAUUUGAUCAACCAAUUUUAAGUUUAUCCAAAGAUGUAGACGAGCAACAACGAAUGCGCGAGACCAUAUUUAGGAUUAAUGUUUGAUAUCGUACUAGAUAGUUUACCCACCUAUGUCGCAACCAUUAAAUGUCACUACAACAUUUGCUAAUGCUGAAUUAUCAGAGUCCAUCCAAAAAGCAAGGGUUCCUCCGUAUUGUGCCAUUCAGGUAAAUCCUAGAUCAAGUCUCCGAUGUUAUACAUGGCACUGGUUGGUGGACCGAUACUGUCACUGUUAGCAUGACAACUAAAUGGUCAAGGGAGUCACUGAAAAUUUAAUUAAAUGAUCAUGGGUACUUAAUAUACCUGUUUGCCACUGACCAACCGUCCAUGCAAGGGCGGAUUCAGAGCAAACAAUUCCACCUAUCACUGCAAAUGUCGUUAAAAGAAAGAAGCGAAUAAACGAAGCGAGAAAGAAAGAGACUUUUCUACAAAAGCUCAAAUUCUACCUCAAAUACAAAGAGAUUAUGUAGUAUUCGCAUAGAAAAUACAUCACGCAAACAAUAAAGCAAAGAAAGAAAGAAGGAAAGAAAAGCAAAGCCAAAAAAAAAAAAAGAAAGAAACGUCUUUCUAACAUCUUUCUCCGAGGGAAUCAAACAGUGCAGCGAUGACUUACCAAACGCAUGAAUAACUGCAUAUUUAAAUGAUAAUUUAAGUUUAGAAACAAACAUAGAAAAAAAGCAAAAAACACAAAGAAAGGAAAGAUAAUAAAGAAACUAUUCUAUCAUAUCUCGAAUUCUGCCUCUAGAAUGCUUCCGUCGUUGUUAGUGAGUGCUGCAAUAUCUGUGAAUGUAUACAAGUUAUGUAGUGUACAAUAAAAAAUAAUAACUGCAAAAAACAAAAUGAAUGUUAACAUAUCCUCAACAAUAACUGUGCCAAAUUAUCAAAAGCCACAUCAAUAUUCUAUAAAUGAUCAUAAGUAGUUAAUAUACCUCUUUCCCACUAACCGCCAUCCAUGCAAAGCGCGAAUCCAGAGCAAACAAUCCCAUCUAUCAUUGCAGAUUUAAUUAAAAGAAAGAAACAAAGCUAAGAAGAAAGACGGAAAGGAACUUUUCUACCAAACCUCAGAAUCUACCUCUAAUGCAAGGAGAUUAUACAGAAUAUUCGAAUAGAAAAUCCAUCAUACAAAUAAUGAAACAAAGAAUGAGUGAAAUAGAUAGAAGGAAGGAAAGAAAAGAAAAGCCAGUCUCCUCAGGAAUUAAAUAGUGCAAGAAGAUCAAGUCAUACGUAAUUUUUGUUCGAUUCACAUUCAAUUCUUUAUUAUUCAUGAACUAUAAUAAAAGAUUGAAAUAUUUAAAUCUGACUGGACUUGGAGUAGUACUCAAAGUUGCCUACGUACCUUCUUUUUUAGAAUCAAGUAAUACGUAGUUAUGUUUAAUCCAUGAAGUCCAAUAAAAAAUUUCAAUGCUUCAGUUUUACUGAACUUGAAGUGGUACGCCAAGCGGCCUACGUACAAUCUUUUUGAGAAUUACGUCAUGCAUAAUUAUGCUCAAUCCGCGAAUUCUAAUAAAAAAUUAAAACGAUUAAUUUGACUGAACUUAGUGUAGUACACCAAGCUGCCUACGUACCUUCUUUUUGAGGAUCAAGUCAUACGUAGUUCUACUCCAUCUGUUUCAUUUUUUUGAUAAGAACUCAUAGAUAAUAAAGUAUUGGAUUUCAAGAAAACUUAAAACGAAAUGCACUGCUAUUCAGGUUUGCAGAUUUCGAGAUGAACGAGAAAUUAAAGAUAUAUGACGUUUUUUUAUUUAAAAGAAAAUAAGGGACCUUUCAAAUAGUUAUAUAUUUCAAGUGAAAUGAAAGAUGAAACUCAAUGUCUUUUGCUCAUUUGUGUAAUUUUCGAUUGUUUCAAGAAAGAUUGGGAAAUGAAAUGGAGUAUAUAGCAAUACAAAUGAAGAAUCGAAGACAAUGACUUUUGCUCCACCGGAUAAUUUUUGAAAAAGUUGAAAAAAUCGCUUUCGUAGUACAAGCAGACUUGAAGAGUGGCUUUUGUUGCUUUUUGGGUUUUGAAGGCAAUAAGAAAAUAAAGAGUCGGUACAUUCUUAGCAUAAUUAAGUUUAAAGAUCGACAGAACAAAACUAAGUUACUGUCAAAUGCUAACAAAGUACUGAUUCUUUCCCUUCAAAUUCUAAAAAGCCACAUACAUCAUUGUUGAAGGUUACUUGUGCUGAACAAAGCGAUGUAAUUUUCAUUUCCAACAUUUCCAAAUAUACCCAGUGCAUUCGAAAGUCAUUGGGAUAGAUUUUCUUCAUUUGCCUUUCUGCGAACACUCCAUUCAUUACUCAAUCUUUUUUGUAGUAGUAAAACAUUACACGGGUAAGCGAAACAAGUUAAAUUUCAUCUUUUAUUUUCUUUGAUAUACGGAAGUCUUUAAAGGAUACUAUAUUUUCAGUUUUUAUUUCUUUUUUGAAAUCCAAUAAAACUGGAAAGCACUGUGUUUUAUAUUUAAUUGACUUGAAAUUCAUUAGUGGUUGGAGGAAAUUUUCUUUCUUUUUUGAAAUCCAAUAGAAUUGGAAAGAACUGUGUUUUAUAUUUAAUUGACUUGAAAUUCAUUAGUGAUUGGAGGAAAUUAUAUUCAGUACUUUAUUAUCCAUGUAAGGCUAAUAAGAAUUUGAAGUGCUUAAGACUUAGAGUAGUACUCCAAGUUGCCGAUGUACCUUCUUUCUGAUGAUCAAAUUAUACGUAAUUCUACUCGAUCCGCAAAUUCUAAUAAAAGAUUGAAAUGUUUAAUUUUGACUGAACUUGGUGUCGUACGCCGAGCUGCCUACGUACCUUCUUUUUGAACAUCCAGUCACACGUAGUUCUACUCUAUCCAUUUCAUUUUCUAUAAGACUUUGAUAAAGCACUAGAUUUCUUCGGCACAUGUAAGUAAAGCAAAGUAUGAUAGUUCAAGAGAUAAUGGAAUAAGAAUUACUAUUGAGAGUUAGAAGAAAUUAAGAGUUCGAGAGAUGAUGGCUAAAAAGGAAACUAGGAAUGAUGAUUCACUUGAGUUAGCCCAUAUCAUAACCUUCAGCACCAUAAAGACUAGCUAGUCAAGUCACUUCUGAUCUAAAAUCUAUCUGAGAACAUAGAGGUCAAAAAUUUGUUAGGAUAAGAUAUGGUCAAAAAACACCUAACCAAGAUUUGGCGAGAUCUGUAUUGAGUUAGUUUGCCAGGUGUUUUGCCUAUAAAUGCAUCGCUUGCACGUAAAUAACAGAGGCAGUGAACUUAGUAAAAGAAGCAAUAGAUAAAUCUUUACCUCUGCAAUAGUUCCUUUACUCAUCCCUGUCUUUUGGCCUGCCUAAAAUAGAUCUUACUAAUAUGCAAUAAUUUAUGUUCUUAUGGAAAAAAUAAUAUUAAAUAGAAAAGAAGAAUAUACAAAAAACAUAGAAUUCCAUAGAUCCCGAUUCAUUUAUGAUGCAAUGGUAUAUUACAAAAGAAUGUUAGAGACACAUAAGCUGAAGAGUAAAACUUGAAUGCAAAAUACAACCCUAUACGUAGCAU